UAUCCCUAUUUUUUCUUUUAUCAGGUCACGGCCCUUAGGAAAGGGCUACCCAAGCGACGCCAGGCUGGCCCUCCUUUUCAUGCAGCCGCCCGACCAUCAAUCUGUCCUCCGAUACACCCCAGUAAUUGCAUUGGAGAAAUUGCUACACCUACUGCAGGAGACGUUAUAGAUUGGACUGCUGCUUAUGGGGAGUGACCUUAAUUAAGGAUUUGUUCUCCUACAAAGCUGGCAACCCUCGGUAGCCCUUUCGGAAAUCUAGCGGCUGAAAAUGCCUCGGGUCCCAUUUUCUGGCUCAAGAGAUGCUCCGUCAUUAUCUCCCUGCUCUUUCCAGCUCAAUGGGUACAUGAGAUCAGGGGGACUCUUAGCUAUUUUGGAAGGAACUCCACAACUCAGUCCAUGCUUAUUGUGACCGCACGCAUGUGAUGAAAAUACGU